GUCCUUGUAGCUUACACUAAAGCAUGGCACUGAAGAUGCCAAGACGGCACCUAUCUCGCACCCAAGGAC
rnacentral:tRNA from 1 species